AGCAGUGGGGAAUAUUGCACAAUGGGCGCAAGCCUGAUGCAGCAACGCCGCGUGAGGGACGAAGGCCUUCGGGUUGUAAACCUCUUUUAGUAGGGAAGAAGCGACUGGGUUUUCCUGGGAGUGACGGUACCUGCAGAAAAAGCACCGGCUAACUACGUGCCAGCAGCCGCGGUAAUACGUAGGGUGCAAGCGUUGUCCGGAAUUAUUGGGCGUAAAGAGCUCGUAGGCGGUUUGUCGCGUCUGCUGUGAAAACCCGAGGCUCAGCCUCGGGCCUGCAGUGGGUACGGGCAGACUAGAGUGCGGUAGGGGAGAUUGGAAUUCCUGGUGUAGCGGUGGAAUGCGCAGAUAUCAGGAGGAACACCAAUGGCGAAGGCAGAUCUCUGGGCCGUAACUGACGCUGAGGAGCGAAAGCAUGGGGAGCGAACAGGAUUAGAUACCCUGGUAGUCCAUGCCGUAAACGUUGGGAACUAGAUGUGGGGACCAUUCCACGGUCUCCGUGUCGCAGCUAACGCAUUAAGUUCCCCGCCUGGGGAGUACGGCCGCAAGGCUAAAACUCAAAGGAAUUGACGGGGCCCGCACAAGCGGCGGAGCAUGCGGAUUAAUUCGAUGCAACGCGAAGAACCCUUACCAAGGCUUGACAUAUACCGGAACGGCUGGGAACAGUCGCCCCCGCAAGGGUCGGGUUUACAGUGGUGCAUGUGUCGUCAGCUCGGGUCGUGAGAUGUUGGGUUAAGUCCCGCACGAGCGCAACCCUCGUCCUAUGUUGCCAGCACGUAUGGUGGGAACUCAUGGAUACUGCCCGGGGUCAACUCGGAGGAAGGUGGGGAUGACGUCAAAUCAUCAUGCCCUUAUGUCUUGGGCUUCACGCAUGCUACAAUGGCCGGUACAAAGGGCUGCGAUACCGCAAGGUGGAGCGAAUCCCAAAAAGCCGGUCUCAGUUCGGAUUGAGGUCUGCAACUCGACCUCAUGAAGUCGGAGUCGCUAGUAAUCGCAGAUCAGCAACGCUGCGGUGAAUACGUUCCCGGGCCUUGUACACACCGCCC
rnacentral:rRNA from 1 species